rnacentral:rRNA from 1 species
AGGUCCUACGGGAGGCAGCAGUAGGGAAUCUUCCACAAUGGACGAAAGUCUGAUGGAGCAACGCCGCGUGAGUGAAGAAGGGUUUCGGCUCGUAAAGCUCUGGUGGGAGUGAAGAAAGAUAGAGGUAGUAACUGGCCUUUAUUUGACGGGAAUUACUUAGAAAGGCACGGCUAACUACGUGCCAGCAGCCGCGGUAAUACGUAGGUGGCAAGCGUUGUCCGGGUUUAUUGGGCGUAAAGCGAG